UGAUCUUUUACCAUCUCUAUAACUUUGUUAUUCUAGAAUGCUAUAUAAAAGGAAUUACAUAGUAUUACGCAGUAGACUUUCAGACUGGUUUUCACCUAACAAGAUGGAGGAGAACAGCAAUUAUUUUUUCUUCAAAUGUUUGGUAGACUGCACAUGUAAGACCUUUGAUCCUGGUCUCAGACUAGCCUUCCUGCCUGAGAGCUCUCCUUGCCUACUUCUGAAGUUGGUCACUGGAAUGUGUUCCAAGAAUGUUGAAUUAUUUCUGAACUUGCCAAUGUUUUUCUCUGUGAUUAGGCCAUCUGUGUUUGCUAAUUGGUGCUCAUUAAAUUAGGCUCCUACCCUCCCACAUGGGCUGGGAGAUAGAGGCCCUAUCUUCCAUGAUGGUUACAUUUAUUCAAAUGAAUGGCUUCAAGGUCCUUGAGAAAAACAUUAUUGGGCUGUAAAACUGGCAAGAGAGUUUUUAAAAAGUACAUGGAAAUAAGGUACAACUGUAAGUUUUCUAAAGUGAAUGCUCUAAGAAAAAGGAAGUUCAGGAGCCAAGACAGGGAAAGACCUGUCUAAAAUUCAAUCAUGGCGAGGAGAACAUAAGACUAUCUUAAGGACAGGAGCACUUUGGGAGGCUGAGGGGGGUGGAUCACAAGGUCAAGAGAUCCAGACCAUCCUGGCCAACAUGGUGAAACCCCAUCUCUACUAAAAAUACAAAAAUUAGCUGGGUGUGGUGGCAUGCACCUGUAAUCCCAGCUACUCAGGAGGCUGAGGCAGGAGAAUUGCUUGAACCUGGGAAGUGGAGAUUGCAGUUUGCAGUGAGCCGAGAUCAUGCCUCUGCACUCCAGCCUGGCAACAGAGUGAGACUCUGUGUCAAAAAAAUAAACAAAAAAAAAAAACUGUUUUAGUCACUUGUAGAGGAAAAAUGAAUUAAGAACACUCUUCUACUGGGCACUUAAAAAAACAAACAAAAGGAAAAACAUCCAUUUAUUCAGAGUGUAAAACUAAUGGAUUGAAUUGUCAUGAAUUCUGUAGUUCUGAUGAUUCAGCUCUUGUUCCAGGCCAGAAGGCUAUGAUAGGUGUGAAAGGAAAGUAUCUUGGGUCCCUUCAACCUGGGAACCACUCAUGGCAAAUCUGCCUCCCAUUCUAUUCAAAGUCAUCUCACUGCUCACAGGAAUAGAUACAUAUUCUGAUUGCCUUCUUGUAAAGACCUAUCAGAAACUCAAAAGAAUGCAACCAUCUGUUUCUCACCUACCUGUGACCUGGAAGUCCCCUUGCUUUGAGUUGUCUCCACUUUUCUGAACAAAACUGGUGUGACUCUUACCUAUAUUGAUUGAUGUCUCAUGUCUCCCUAAAAUGUAUAAAACCAAGCUGUGCCCAGAUCACCAUGGGCACGUGUCAUCAGGACUUCCUCAGGCUGUGUCACAGGCCUCAACCUCGGCAAAAUAAACUUUCUAAAUAAACUGAGACCUGUCUCAGAUUUUCCAGGUUCACUUUUUGGUAACCACCAAAGGAUUCUGAGUGGAGAUGCCCUUGACCUUUGACAAAUCUCCCUUAGGUGCUUGUACAAGCAUGAGCUAACUUUAUGGCUCAAACCAAUAGGACAAUUUGCUGAGGCCUGAGAGAUUUCCCUCCAGAGAAUCCCUGAUCUCCCAAAAUUUGGUCGAGAUCUAAAGUUUAUUUUGCUGUGCAACUCUUCCUUUUUUUUUUUUUUUUUGGAGUUUUACUUGCUUUCAACAGGAAGGCAAGUUUUCCUGCUUCCGUGAUGAUGGAAGGCAGUAACUCUUUUAUGGAAUUUGAGCUUGCUUCCAACAGGGAAGGUGAAUUUUUUUCUUUUUUCCCUGCUUCUACAAUGGUAGAAAGCAGUCUACAACCUGAGACCCAACACUAGGUAAGAAAUUGGUUUGGGAUUCUGUCUUGCAAAUUCUUUUUAAAUGACUAAAGUUAGCAUUUAACAACCAGCUGCUGUUAAUUUCUGCUCACAUUUAGAGCACUCAGAUAUCAUAUAAUCUGUGUGAUCAUAGUUCAUUUUGCUUAACUGUUUUGUUUGUUUCUGUCUUGGUCAAAUCCUAAGGGAAACCCUAACUCAUGGGGAACAAGGUCUCUGAAGUGAAAGGAAAAUGGCCAGCAAAAGGAAAAAAAAAUUUAAUUGUAACUACUUAAAGGGCUUUAUUUACAUAAUAAGGCCACCUUUUGCCAGCCACACCAAACUGAAAGAGCAAUGGCUGAACUUCUGAAAUAGCAGCAUUUUCUCCUAGCUGAAAUAUGGUAAUGAGAUUUAAAGAUUUUUUUUUUUUUAGAGAGCUCAAUGGUUAAAAAUCAGCUUAAUUAAAAGGUUAACAUCCCAGGGGUGUGUGUAUAUGUGUAUGUUUAUAUUAAAAAAGACUUUAUGUUUUUGAGGGGGGUGUUGUUUGUUUUUCUGUCCUAAGACCUUGUCUCUUUUUUGAGCAAAUUUCUCUUUCUCAGUUGACUAAAUUCUGUUUUCACCCGAUUUUCUGACUAAAAUAAUUAUUGCAACAAAGUCUACUUUUGGUUUUUCAAAGAAGAAUGUAGUUUAGACACUCAGAAAUGUUUUUGUUUAAAAAAAUUUUAAGUGGACUGUAAAAGUGUCUCUCUCUAACACUGCCAGACAUUUUCUCUCUGUACCUUAUGAGGUAAAUUUUGCUAUUUGAUUUUCACCUAAGUGGUUUCCUUUAAUGUGCAAAUUUAAGUCUAUUUAGCUGACAACUGCUUAGGGUUGUGAAACAGGUUAUCAAGAAUCUGAAAGUCUAAGAUAGGAAAAAACAACAAAAAAGGGGGAGUCUUUAUUUAUAUUUGUAUUUAUAUUUAUAUUUUAUUUUAUUUUAUUUUGAGAUGAAGUUUUGCUCUCGUUGCCCAGGCUGGAGUGCAAUGACGUGAUUUCAGCUCAAUGCAACCUCCACCUCCUGGGUUCAAGUGAUUCUCCUGCCUCAGCCUCCCGAGUAGCUGUGAUUAUAGGCACCCGCCACCAUGCCCGGCUAAUUUUUUCUAUUUUUAGUAGAGAUGGGUUUUCACCAUGUUGGCCAGGCUGGUCUUGAACUCCUAACCUCAGGUGAUCUACCCGCCUUGGCCUCCGAAAGUGCUAGGAUUACAGGCGUGAAGCACCACGCCUGGCCAGGAGGGUCUUUAUUAAUCUGUAAAAUGUAGUUCCAUCGGCAUGCCUAACAUGUCUUUAUAUGUAUUUAUGUGUUCUGUACAAAAUAUGUCACUACUAAAAAUAUAUAAAAAAGCUCUAAAGCUCUAAUUAAUUGGCUUAAAAAAGUGCUUAAGUCAGAUACUAAAAAAAAAAGACUAGUCAAAUGCUUUUUCAAUUUUAUGUAACUUAAGUAACAUCUUGAGUAAAUAAACUGAUUUUUAAAUUUUUGGUAAAGUAAUAUUAGAAAUGUCUUAAAAAUUGCAGCAUACAUCUUUGCAUUUAUUAAUCAAGCAAAUUUCAUACUUACCCCUGACAAAUAUUAUAAGGUGUCAAAAUUUGACAUAGGGAUAGAAAAGUAUAACCCAGCCCAAAACAGAAUGAUAUUUGCUUUUGUAAUUUUUAAUAAAUAAGACACUGAUAUAGGUUUAAUAAAAAUAGCUGCAUCUUGAAUUUAGUAAGAUUACCAUAACUUCUAAUCCUGUGGCUUUAGGCAAUCUGGUCCACAGAUAAUAAGGAGAUUUUUUGCGAAAGGACUGUUACCGUUUUUGAUUCAGAACUAAACUAUAAACUAAGUUCCUCCCAAAGUUAGUUCAGCCUAAGCCCAGGAAUUAUCAAGGACAGCUUGGAGUUUAACAGCAAGAUGCAGUCAGUGAGGUCAAAUCAUUUUUUACUGUCUCAGUUAUAAUUCUGCAAUGGUGGUUUCAUAACUUCAAAUCAUGACUAUCACAGUUUUCUGUGAUAAUAAUAAUAAUAAAUAAUAAAUAAUCUAGGUAAACAAUUAAAAUUAUAUAAUUAGGCAAAUGCAAUGGGAUAAAUACUUCUAGACAAACUGGUCAUAAUUUAAAAUAUGAAGUUAUAUUAAUUAAAUGAUAGAUAUUUUAUUAUUUGGGUAUUUUUCAACAAAUGUAUAUUGUAGAAAAACAUUCUUGCUACCAAAAAAGUGUGUCCUUUCUUUUUAUUUUUUUUUUUAAAAAAAAAGGUGAACAAGUUUUGUCUAAUUCAAAGCUUAUUUAAAGGUUACAUAUAAAAUAAGGUAAAAGGAAGCAGGACUAAAACAAGAUGUAAAUAAAGGUAUAAAAAUAAGAAGGAUUUUUUGAGUUAAAAAAGCUUAAAGAAAAAUAAUUUUAUAUAAGAAAGAAACUUUUAUGGUAAAUUUAGUCCUAAAAUAAAAUAAUUGCUUGUUUAAAAAGGAGGGAUGUUCAGAACAAACCAGAAAGUCAUAUUAUUAUUAAGCUUUGGUUUACUUAGAAAAAAACUGAGAUAAUUUUUUUAACUAAGGUUAUUACAUCCAAGCCUUUUCUUGUAUGUGCUUUUAAAGUCCUUAUAACAUUGAGUUACAGGGCUUUAACUCCUGGAUCUAAAAAGGACACCAAGUCCUGCUUAAUCUUAAACCCUGACAGCAAUUAAACCAUCAUCUUCAGGCCCCAUAGAAGAUGCCAAUCAAAACAAACUUCAUUCCUGAGACACAGGGCAAUAAAUUAAAGCUAUUCAACUCCUCAAGGCCCAGGGACUAUCACUGAAGAGUUGGGCACGUCAAAUUCAAAGGGCUGAUUUUGAAACCCUGUUAGACUAAGUUCAGUUUCUCUAUAAAUUAAUCAUUAAUGCCAAAGGCACACUAAUGGAAAACCAGUAUAUGGACCCCUGUGUCAGAAUAACAAGGUUUUCUUGAACCAUUAACUAACUCUUUAAUAAAGGUUAUAAAAGGCUUAUGGAAGUUGUAUUUUAUAAUUAAUUUAAAUUUUAUAUAUUGAAAAUUUUGAAAAACAAAUGUAAUUGGCUUCAUUUUUUUUAUGGCUUCUUGUUUAGAAAAUUAAGUCUCCUCUCUCAAAGGAUGAAGGUUUUUGCUUUUUUUUGAAAUCCUUGAAUUAUCACUUUGGUUAAAUAAAUGACUUUAUAAUGACCUGUAAUCCUAUUUUGUGAUGUUAAGUGUUUUAAACCUUUUAUAUUUGACAAACUUUCCACAAUCAAAUUAUAAGUUAUGUCUUUUCCUAACCUAAUUAAUACUUUAAUAUAUUAGGUUCCCCUAAAGUCCAAAAAUUACAUAAUUAGGCUUAUUUGAUAUAAAAAUUACACAGAAAGCAUUGUCAAAUAUGAAAUGGUGUUUGGUUUUCUUUGGGAUCUAUUUAUAUAAAUAUGUUAUUGGUAUAUGUUCCAAAAUUAUGGGAAAUUCCUGUAAUUCUAAGUUAUAUUAGAAAUUCCUGUAAUUCUAAGUUACAUUAGAAUUUGACAAACUUUCCAAUCAAAAUUGUUAUGUUAAAAUUAUUGGGUGCCACAGAGGUAACAAAUUUCCUUGUCAAUUGUCUUUUGACUAUGGCUGCCUUAAAACUGUUUUUUCAUCAAUGGACAAUUGUCUUGUUUUGGUCCUCUUUAGAAGGUGGUUUUAUAAUCAGCUAUAAAACUCCAACAGGUGCUCUUAAAUUCAGGUUUCCUAUAACUUUGGAGAUUGUGAUACCACAAUAGAGGGAAAACUUUCAGGACUCAUGGAGAGCUAAAAAUAUUCAUGAGUAUCAAGUAGAACAGAAAUUAACUCCAUGGACUGAACCAAUCUUUUUAACUUUUUGCUUAAAAUGUUUGCUGAUCCUUUGUUUUUUUUUUCACUCAUAAAACUUUUCUUUUGGGCUAUUGACAGGUUUUCAAAAUUUAGUAUACUCCUAUGAACAAAAUUUGGAGCAUAUUUGUUUCUCUCUACCUGAUUGCUCCAGAAUUUGGAAGCUAUUUGUGAGUAUUCUUAACUUAUGGCAACACAGUUAUUUGCAUACGUGCAAUAAGAAUCUGUUUUCAUUUGUAACAGGACACAAUUGGAGAAAUUGAUUAUUUUACCAAGGCUUUGACUGGAAUGGUGUGCCUUCCUUUAAGGAAUCAAAAUUGACUUAAGCCAAUAAAGCCUUUGGAAAACCUGGCCUCAUGAUUUGUCUUUAGUGAAAAGGGAAACUGGAGAGAGAGAAAAAAAUAGGUUUCAAAAUGAUAGUACACCCGGUGUUAGAUUCUAGUAUUGCCUAAUUUUUUUUUUCCAUUUUUAUUAUUCUCCACGGUUAGGGCUAAAUUCUAUUUUUUUCUUGGCUACAAGUCUUCAGAACAAUGUUUUUAAUUAUUUUUUCGUUUUCUUCUUUUUUUUUUCCAUUUUUUCCUCAUUGGCAGUUACUGAAAACUAAGGUGUAUUUUCUUAAAGCCCUGCAAACUGAAGCUAGACAACUUAAACUUCAGAAGAAAGUAACAGUAACCUAUUUACAUACAUAAGCCACUUUCAUACCUGCUGGUAUGGACUUCAGAGUAAUGUGUGGACUGUAGAGUAAUGUGGCCUAUAUCGAUUUUUUUCAGGAUUGCUCUUUUGUUUGUUGUUGUUUUUCCUCCCUUCUUCCCCCUUAUUUUCCCUUCCCUGGACAUGAGACUUCACAACUUGUUAAAAAAUGAGCUUUCAGGACAUACCCAUCUAGAAAUAAACCGUCCUAGCCAUGAGAGAUCAUAUGAAACCUGAGACCAGAGACUCAUUUUCUUGUAAAGUGGUUUCUCCAAAAGAGUUUUAAAAAGAAAAGGGGGAAAAUGUAAAAAGAAAAUAUCUUGGGCCCCUUGAAGCUGAAAACCCCUCAGGGCAAAUCUGCUUCCCAUUCUAUUCAAAGUCAUCCCUCUGCUCACAGAGACAGAUGCAUAUUCUGACUUCCUCCUUUGGAAAGACUUAUCAGAAAUUCAAAAGAAUGCAACCAUCUGUCUCUCACCUCCCUGUGACCUGGAAGCCCCUGGCUGGGGGGUGGUGAGUGGUUUGCUUUUACUUUUCUCUGCCUUUCUAAAUGUAACUAAUGUACUUCUUACAUAUAUUGAUUGUUGUCUCAUGUCUUCCUAAAAUGUAUAAAACCAAGCUGUGCCCAGACCACCUCGGGCACAUGUCAUCGGGACCUCCUCAGGCUGUGUCACGGCCUUGGCAAAAUAAACUUUCUAGAUUAACUGAGACGUGUCUCAGAUUUUCUGGGUUCACACAGGGUUAGUAUAUUUUUUGAGGAUAUAUCUGGAGGAUAUAAUAUAAAGGGUUCUUUUGAGAGCAGUUUUUGAGCUACAUGGGUUCCCUGUAUCCUAGCUUAUAAAAAUCCAGAGGAGGACAGUUGGCAUUAUAUCACUUGCAUCUGCCUCAAUCUGUGUUCAGAGAUCUUAAAUUUUAAAGCAGGCAUCCCUAUAAUAUUUCAAUCAGCAUUCAUCCCUUGUUGAAAAUUCUAUUUUUUCUGAGACUCAGGACUGCAGUUCUACACAUAUCUGGGCUUUUUUUCUGGAUUGUGCCUUAAAAAUUAGAGAUUCACUCAGAAUAUUAUGACCUUUUAAAUUACCAAAUUUCUUGGCACCUUGAUUCCAUGUAUUUAUAUUGUAAACUUCAAUCAUAUCUUCCAAGUUGGCAGAAUACUUUAUACUUGGACCUUCUUCUAAAACGAGGUUUACACUGUUAAAUCAUUAGGCAGGUUUACCUUCUACCUGGAGACAAUUUUACAAAUGUUUGUUUUAUUGAUUUCUAAUGUGUUUCUCUCUCUCUCACACACACACACACUCUGUCACACACACACACACACACAUCUCUAGCUAAAGUUUUUUUCUUAAGUUUAGUAUUCAUUAUAUUUAUUAAGAGGGUUAGUGACAUUGUUGACCCUGUUCAACUAUUAAGAGGUAGAUUUAAAUGAUAAGUUGACCUAAUUUUCAAUGAUUUUUCUAAUAUAACUUGGUAAAACAAUUUGGAAUAUCAGGCAAUUGGAAAAACAAGACCACACAUUAUGUAUCUUUCUUUUCUCUCUUGAAAAAAUUCCUUAUUUAUACAUACAGGUACAGAACAGAUUUCUGCAAAGCAAAUUUUUAUGUGUUAAAAAAUAAAAUUUGACAAUAAUGCCAGCAGCUUGUAGUGCAC
rnacentral:lncRNA from 1 species